AGGUUUUCUUUUUUAGGGUAAAAGUUUGAUUCUAGCUUUGAAAUUUGCUAUUUAGGUGAUUGAACAUGUAAAUAUUUGUGUGUUUGGGUUUUGCUAAAAGUGUAUUUUAGUAUUUGCAGUUUUUAAUAUUAAAAAUUAAGGGAACUUAGAUUUAGUUAAUUUAAAUUAGCUUUGGCCAAAAUUGUGCCAGCAGCCGCGGUUACACAAUUGGAGCAAGUAAAUUGGUUUUGGUUUGGCAUUUAAUUUAGUAUUGGUUUUGAAUUUUUAUUUUUUUAGGUGAAAUUAUGAGAUAUUAUUGAAAAUGUGUUUUGAUUUAAAUGUUAAAGUUCAUUUUGAGACUAGGAUUAGAUACCCUAUUAUUAUGAAUUGUUAAUUAUUAGACCUUGGUAUUAAUAGUUAUGUUCUUGAAAUUAAAAGAAUUUGGCGGUAAUUUAGUCCUUUCAGAGGAACCUGCCCUGUAAUUGAUGAUCCACGAUAAAUUUUACUUUAUUUUAGCUUGUAUAUCUCUGUCAUUGAAUGUUUUAUUAGAAUAUUUUCUUGAAGUUUUAUAGUAAAAAAUGUCAGGUCAAGGUGCAGCUGUAAUAAAGAAGAGGUGGGUUACAUUAAUAUUAUUUAUGAAGAUAAGUAUGGAAAUAUUAUUGAAAUUGGAUUUGAAAGUAAUUUUUAUUAUAAUAUAAUUUUGAUUUAGGCUCUAAAUUAUGCACAUAUCGCCCGUCGCUCUCAUUAAUAAUAUGAGAUAAGUCGUAACAAAGUAGGCUUACUGGAAAGUGAGCCUGGAACGAAUA
rnacentral:ncRNA from 1 species